GAAAUGCGAUAAGUAAUGUGAAUUGCAGAAUUCAGUGAAUCAUCGAAUCUUUGAACGCACAUUGCGCCCGCCAGUAUUCUGGCGGGCAUGCCUGUUCGAGCGUCAUUUCAACCAUCAAGCCCCCGGGCUUGUGUUGGGGACCUGCGGCUGCCGCAGGCCCCGAAAACCAGUGGCGGGCUCGCUGUCACACCGGGCGUAGUAGAUUUUUCGUCUCGCCCAGGGCGUGCUGCGGGUUCCGGCCGUUAAAAAGCCUCUCUUUUUAACCCAAGGUUGACCUCGGAUCAGGUAGGAAGACCCGCUGAACUUAAG
rnacentral:misc_RNA from 1 species